UGUGCUGUAUGUAUGUGGCCAUGUGCUGUAGCAUUUAUUUAUGCUAUACAUUACCAUAUUGUGGGUGGUUGGUAUAUUUAAUUUGAUAGGAGAAAAAUACAGUAGUAGAAGUAGCCCUCUCUUGAAUUUUUUUUUUUUUUUUUUAUUGUCAACAUGAAACAAGGGAUGGAAUGUGUUCCUCAUUCUACCUAUUAUGAUUGUGUGAGUAUCUGAGUUCUUUUUCGCCAAUCAACUCCCAUAUUGAUCCAGGUCGCCUAGUUUGACUUAGAUAAAAUUGAGGAUGUCAGCUUACCAAAUUGAUAAGAUAUUUGGUAGGUGUACCAAAUGAAUUGAAAUCAGAUCUCACCUUCCCUGAGGUACCUUUGCUAUUAAGUCCAUUGUUGUUUAUCAGAAGCAAAAAGCCAAAAACAUAGAUAAAAUUGUUUUCCAAGGACUGGUAUAAUUGU
rnacentral:lncRNA from 1 species